UGCCAGACUCCUACGGGAGGCAGCAGUGGGGAAUAUUGGUCAAUGGGCUUACGCCUGAACCAGCCAAGUCGCGUGAGGGAAGACUGCCCUAUGGGUUGUAAACCUCUUUUGUCAGGGAGCAAUUGGCGCUACGUGUAGCGUUAUCGAGAGUACCUGAAGAAAAAGCAUCGGCUAACUCCGUGCCAGCAGCCGCGGUAAUACGGAGGAUGCGAGCGUUAUCCGGAUUUAUUGGGUUUAAAGGGUGCGCAGGCGGCGUGUCAAGUCAGCGGUAAAAUGUCGGGGCUCAACCCCGGCCGGCCGUUGAAACUGGCGUGCUCGAGUUGGAGAGAAGUAUGCGGAAUUCGUGGUGUAGCGGUGAAAUGCAUAGAUAUCACGCAGAACUCCGAUUGCGAAGGCAGCAUACCGGCGCGCAACUGACGCUCAUGCACGAAAGCGUGGGUAUCGAACAGGAUUAGAUACCCUCGUAC
rnacentral:rRNA from 1 species